AUGGGGAAGAUGCAAUCCUUGUGCUCUCCCAUGACUCUGAGCAUCUUUGAGAGACGUACCUACCUGAAAAACUGCUAUGCUGGUUUAUCCAAUAUUGUCAAUAUUUUGCAUCCAAGUACUUUUAGACAUAAGAAGAAAAAUGAUUCUCAGUAUAUUAACAAAAAGAUUUGCUGUGAUAAAAAACUAAAAGACAAUUUCCAGGUUGACCCACAUACUCUUCAUGUAGCAGAGGUCAGGUCAAAGUUUUAUGACCAGGAGCUUGUAAUGCACGGGAUCCACUCUGACUCUUGCAUUUUUCUUGUUAUCGUUAUACACAGAGAUAAUAACCUAUGAGCAACGUCAACACAAAAGAAUGAGAAGUUACUUCUGUUUUGAUGCUUUUCCCCUAAAUGAGCUAAGCAAACAAGGAUAUGACAAAGAGCACGUCUCACCAGGGCCAACUUGGUAGCAGGCCACCUCGACGCUAUUGAUUUUGCAUUUCCAGCUGGUUGUCUCUGUGUCAUUUUAAAAGAAGGUGCUGUGCGUAGCCUUUACAAACUCCCUACUGCUUGCUGAGGUGGACAAAAAGAUGCAAACUCAUAGAAAUCCGCCAAAGAAUAUAAUAGUCUCUACAGAAGAUCUGGCUGAAUCAACCAACAAAAGGUUCCAGCUGUGGAAGCUGUGUGGAACAAAGGCAACUCUUGGCCUAAUGUGCAGUGCAUGCUUCUGGCGUUCCAGUUCAGGGAAGGAAUAAAGAAAGCUAUUCCAAAGCCCUUGACCA
rnacentral:lncRNA from 1 species